UAGGUUAACGAGGCGAACCGGGGGAACUGAAACAUCUAAGUACCCCGAGGAAAAGAAAUCAACCGAGAUUCCCCCAGUAGCGGCGAGCGAACGGGGAGCAGCCCAGAGUCUGAAUCAGCUUGUGUGUUAGUGGAACGGUCUGGAAAGUCCGACGGUACAGGGUGAUAGUCCCGUACACCAAAAUGCACAGGCUGUGAACUCGAAGAGUAGGGCGGGACACGUGGUAUCCUGUCUGAAUAUGGGGGGACCAUCCUCCAAGGCUAAAUACUCCUGACUGACCGAUAGUGAACCAGUACCGUGAGGGAAAGGCGAAAAGAACCCCGGCGAGGGGAGUGAAAAAGAACCUGAAACCGUGUACGUACAAGCAGUGGGAGCACCUUCGGGUGUGACUGCGUACCUUUUGUAUAAUGGGUCAGCGACUUAUAUUCUGUAGCAAGGUUAACCGUAUAGGGGAGCCGCAGGGAAACCGAGUCUUAACUGGGCGUUAAGUUGCAGGGUAUAGACCCGAAACCCGGUGAUCUAGCCAUGGGCAGGUUGAAGGUUGGGUAACACUAACUGGAGGACCGAACCGACUAAUGUUGAAAAAUUAGCGGAUGACUUGUGGCUGGGGGUGAAAGGCCAAUCAAACCGGGAGAUAGCUGGUUCUCCCCGAAAGCUAUUUAGGUAGCGCCUCGUGAAUUCAUCUUCGGGGGUAGAGCACUGUUUCGGCUAGGGGGUCAUCCCGACUUACCAACCCGAUGCAAACUACGAAUACCGAAGAAUGUUAUCACGGGAGACACACGGCGGGUGCUAACGUCCGUCGUGAAGAGGGAAACAACCCAGACCGCCAGCUAAGGUCCCAAAGUCAUGGUUAAGUGGGAAACGAUGUGGGAAGGCACAGACAGCCAGGAUGUUGGCUUAGAAGCAGCCAUCAUUUAAAGAAAGCGUAAUAGCUCACUGGUCGAGUCGGCCUGCGCGGAAGAUGUAACGGGGCUAAACCAUGCACCGAAGCUGCGGCAGCGACACUAUGUGUUGUUGGGUAGGGGAGCGUUCUGUAAGCCUGCGAAGGUGUGCUGUGAGGCAUGCUGGAGGUAUCAGAAGUGCGAAUGCUGACAUAAGUAACGAUAAAGCGGGUGAAAAGCCCGCUCGCCGGAAGACCAAGGGUUCCUGUCCAACGUUAAUCGGGGCAGGGUGAGUCGACCCCUAAGGCGAGGCCGAAAGGCGUAGUCGAUGGGAAACAGGUUAAUAUUCCUGUACUUGGUGUUACUGCGAAGGGGGGACGGAGAAGGCUAUGUUAGCCGGGCGACGGUUGUC
rnacentral:rRNA from 1 species